rnacentral:rRNA from 1 species
CGGGACGGGUGGGGGAUAAUGUCUGGGAAACUGCCUGAUGGAGGGGGAUAACUACUGGAAACGGUAGCUAAUACCGCAUAACGUCGCAAGACCAAAGAGGGGGACCUUCGGGCCUCUUGCCAUCGGAUGUGCCCAGAUGGGAUUAGCUAGUAGGUGGGGUAACGGCUCACCUAGGCGACGAUCCCUAGCUGGUCUGAGAGGAUGACCAGCCACACUGGAACUGAGACACGGUCCAG